rnacentral:snoRNA from 19 species
CACUCCUGUUUCUGCCUCGUGUCCUUUUAAACGCUUCCACGGGACAUGGGUUCUAAUUAUGGAGAAGAUCAAGCUUUGAAAUGGCCUGUUCACACAUUUUGAUACAACCGUGAACAGUGUUCCGUUUCGAAGAUCGUGUGGGUUUCUAUCGUUUCGUACUCAUUGUGUUUUCAAAAAAAAAAUCUUUGAGUUGUUUAGAUGCCACUAUAUUU